rnacentral:lncRNA from 1 species
GUAUCUGUUUUCUAGUUCAGUCAGGAGUGGACGAGCUGGGAGCAUUUCCUAUGUUUGUUUCUUCAAACAGUAUCCUCUAACCAUCAUAAUGGACAUUUUAAGGAAAUAGCAACAACCACAAAACGGAAGCAACUAAGAGGCACAAUUAUAAGAGUCUUCUGAAAAAUUCUUAAUACUCUGCUAGUAGGUGGGAAUUUGUUUUACCACAGAACUCAACCUGGUCUUAUGCGUCAUUUCAGGAGGCUGAAACAGUUCAUCUCUGACAAUCAUCACCAGAAUCUCAUCAAGGCCGAACAGCAGCAAUUCCACUAAUGAAUAGCAGGUAUAAUUCAUAUAUAAGGUGUUGUGCAGGUUUGGGACAAGAACUGCACAGUUCUCCUUUAAACAUCGAGUGUUCAAGUACAUAUAAAGAAUGCACUGUCAUGAGGAUUCCAACUCUAUCUGAGUGCAAAACACACACACAGUCUAGUAAACGAAAUUAGCACAAGUCUAUUUAAGCUGUCAAACCCACACAUCAUAACACAAAUACUGUACUUUAACAGGAGCAUGAGGUAAAACUCUGCUGCAACAUUUGCCAUUAUUAGCUGAAAUACUGUACCUAGUACAAAACAUGACAAGAGAGCCAACUCCAACUGCCCACUGAUUUUUUUCUGAACAGCAUUCCCCUGAUCAAGCAAAGCCCCUUAGAACUGGGUCAUAUAGAUCUGUGGUGGGAGUUCCUUGUUGGUAGCUUUGCAGCUGCCUAGCUUAGAGGCUGGCUGAAAUUUAGAAAGAAAGUGUAGACACAGCGCAACCUGUGGCUCUUUGGAACUUCCUUCAGCCUCUUACUAACAUCAACACAAUUCAGGCUGGACAAGAAAACACUGAAAGUGUGAAUGGACGUGAUGAAUGCUUUUGUAUAAAUAGCAGCAAGUGCUUGUACAAAAGAAAAUGCAGAUUUUCCCCCUUCCGCCACCCAUAUCCCAAUCCCAUUUAAAUACCAGUGAGACACCAUCCGCAUAAAUUCUUCCGGUUUGACAACAGACGCUGGCCAGACUUGGAAUUGUUCCAACUGGGUUAACUAGAAGCAUUACUGGCCCAGUAGCCCCAGCCUGACUUCCCACCCGCCAGCAUUUGGUUU